AUGAAUAUGCAAUCAGGCCAAUCCCUUUCACACUCAUAUGAUGUAACAUGGACGGUACAAGGGAAAUGGUGGGCUUUUUUUUCGCAAAAGGAAAAUGCUACUCACCUGGUUUGCCUGACGUCUUCAGUGUUCGUAGUUACUCCGGAAAUCCUAUUAUGCUGCACUCUCGCAGCAGAGAUAAAGAUGGGGACAAAAAAAGAUAAAAGGAAACAAAAAGGAACAAAAGUUAUAUCUGAAAUACCCUUCAUCCGGUCACAUUUAUUUAAGUGGGCGGAGGAGUGCAGGACGAAGAGGAUAGUCACUGUCCUCCCUCCACCAAAUCCCCAAGAGGUUCAUCAUGUCAUAGCGGCAUCUUGGGAGGUCAGGAGGUGGCAGUGGUGUGCGAUAUGGGUGGCGGCGAAGUGCAUGGGAGGGGUAGCGACAAUGCUGGCCGCUCGUGGUGGAGGACGGGACAGAGGUGGUGGUGAAAGAGCAUAA
rnacentral:rRNA from 1 species